rnacentral:rRNA from 1 species
UUUGCAAGGUGUCAUGGUGUCUCAGCUCGUGCCUGAGGGUCGGUUAAGUCCCAUACGAGCGCAACCCUUAUCGUUAGUUGCCAGCUGGUAAAGCAGGGGACUCUAGCGAAACUGCCACCGUAAGGUGAGAGGAAGGUGGGGAUGACGUCAAAUCAGCACGGCCCUUAUGUCCAGGGCUACACACGUGUUACAAUGGCCGGCACAGAGGGCAGCUACCUGGUGACAGGAUGCUAAUCUCGAAAACCGGUCUCAGUUCGGAUCGAAGUCUGCAACUCGACUUCGUAAAGCUGGAUUCGCUAGUAAUCGCGCAUCAGCUAUGGCGCGGUGAAUACGUUCCCGGGCCUUGUACACACCGCCCGUCAAGCCAUGGAAGCUGGGGGUGCCUGAAGUCCGUAACCGUAAGGAGCGGCCUAGGGUAAAACUAGUGACUGGGGCUAAGUCGUAACAAGGUAGCCGUAA